rnacentral:rRNA from 1 species
GGAGGGUUUGAUCCUGGCUCAGGGUGAACGCUGGCGGCGUGCUUUACACAUGCAAGUUGAACGAGAACUCGGAGGUUCUUACUUCGGUAAGAAAGGAAGAGGGACAGUAGCGAACGAGUGAGUAACACGUAGUAACCUGCCCACUGGAGGGGGAGAACCACUGGAAACGGUGGCUAAUACCGCAUAAGCCCGAAAGGGGAAAGCAAUUUAUUGUGCCGGUGGAGGGGACUGCGGGCCAUCAGGAAGAUGGUGAGGUAAAAGCUCACCAAACCGACGACGGCUAUCUGACGUGAGAGCGUGAUCAGACACGAGGACACUGAGAAACGGGUCCUACUCCUACGGGAGGCAGCAGUGGGGAAUAUUGGACAAUGGGGGAAACCCUGAUCCAGCGACGCCGCGUGAACGAAGAAGUCCUUCGGGAUGUAAAGUUCUUUUAAAUGGGAAGAAGGAAAUGACGGUACCAUAGGAAUAAGCCCCGGCUAACUACGUGCCAGCAGCCGCGGUAAGACGUAGGGGGCAAGCGUUACCCGGAAUCACUGGGCGUAAAGGGAGCGUAGGCGGUUAUACAGGUCAUACGUUAAAGACUCCGGCUCAACCGGAGAAGUGCGUAUGAAACCGUAUAACUUGAGGAUAUCAGAGGAAAAGGGAAUUACCAUUGUAGGGGUGAAAUCCGUAGAGAGUGGUAAGAAUGCCGGUGGCGAAGGCGCUUUUCCGGGGUAUACCUGACGCUGAGGCUCGAAAGCCAGGGGAGCAAACCGGAUUAGAUACCCGGGUAGUCCUGGCCGUAAACGAUGUUCACUAGGUGUAGGAUGUCGACAGGCAACCUGUGCUGAAGCAAACGCGAUAAGUGAACCGCCUGGGGAGUACGUCCGCAAGGAUGAAACUCAAAGGAAUUGACGGGGGCCCGCACAAGCGGUGGAGCGUGUGGUUUAAUUCGAAGCUAAGCGAAGAACCUCACCAGGUCUUGACAUAUAAGUGGUAGGGAAGCGAAAGCUAACCGACCCUAGUUUACUAGGGAGCUUAUACAGGUGGUGCAUGGUCGUCGUCAGCUCGUGCCGUGAGGUGUUGGGUUAAGUCCCGCAACGAGCGCAACCCUUGUUUUUAGUUGCCAGCAUUUAGGUGGGCACUCUAAAGAGACUGCCGUCGAAGAGACGGAGGAAGGAGGGGACGACGUCAGAUCAUCAUGCCCCUUAUGAUCUGGGCUACACACGCGCUACAAUGGGUUAGGCAGAAGGCGAAACUGCAAAGUGGAGGCAAUCCGAAAACUAACCCCCAGUUCAGAUUGCAGGCUGAAACCCGCCUGCAUGAAGUCGGAAUCGCUAGUAAUCGCAGAUCAGAACGCUGCGGUGAAUACGUUCCCGGGCCUUGUACACACCGCCCGUCACACCACCCGAGUUGGGAAUACCUGAAGAGCAUGGCAAGCUGACCGGCAACGGGAGCAGUGCUUUAAGGUAGGCUUAGCGAGGGGGGUGAAGUCGUAACAAGGUAGCUGUAUCGGAAGGUGCGGCUGGAUCACCUCCU